GAUGAAGAACGCAGCGAAAUGCGAUACGUAAUGUGAAUUGCAGAAUUCAGUGAAUCAUCGAGUCUUUGAACGUACAUUGCGCCCCCUGGUAUUCCGGGGGGCAUGCCUGUCCGAGCGUCAUUGCUGCCCUCAAGCACGGCUUGUGUGUUGGGCCUCCGUCCUCCUCCCGGGGGACGGGCCCGAAAGGCAGCGGCGGCACCGCGUCCGGUCCUCGAGCGUAUGGGGCUUCGUCACCCGCUCUUGUAGGCCCGGCCGGCGCUUGCCGACACAUCAAUCUUUUUUCCAGGUUGACCUCGGAUCAGGUAGGGAUACCCGCUGAACUUAAGCAUAUCAAUAAGCGGAGGA
rnacentral:misc_RNA from 1 species